rnacentral:rRNA from 1 species
AUUGAACGCUGGCGGCAUGCCUAACACAUGCAAGUCGAGCGGAUGAAGGGAGCUUGCUCCUGGAUUCAGCGGCGGACGGGUGUGUAAUGCCGAGGAAUCUGCCGAGGAGGGGGGGAUAACGUCCGGAGACGGGCGCUAAUACCGCAUACUUCGUGAGUGAGAGAGGGGGGGAGCGUAGGAAUGCACGCCAUCGGGUGAUUGUAGGUCGGAUUAGCUAGUUGGUGGGGUAAAGGCCUACCAAGGCGACGAUCCGUAACUGGUCUGAGAGGAUGAGCAGUCACACUGGAACUGAGACACGGUCCAGACUCCUACGGGAGGCAGCAGUGGGGAAUAUUGGACAAUGGGCGAAAGCCUGAUCCAGCAAUGCCGCGUGUGUGAAGAAGGUCUUCGGAUUGUAAAGCACUUUAAGUUGGGAGGAAGGGCAGUAAGUUAAUACCUUGCUGUUUUGACGGUACCAACAGAAUAAGCACCGGCUAACUUCGUG